ACUGGAAUCCUGCACUACUGCAGGGUUGGCAAUGUUGGGAAUGCUAGCAGCUAGGAGGAACAAAAAACAGGUGCACAGGGAGGGGAAGGAGAAAGAAAAAGAGCCAAGAAACAAGUCCAGAAGAAAGAACAGCAGGAGGAGCUGGAAGGGGUGGUAAGAGGACAGACGAGGGUCAUGGCCGCCAACAGAGCUGGAAAAACUGAUUCUGGGACCCACUGAAUCCUGAUCCACAGCCUGGCAAUGGAGCAAACUGGAGGACAGGAGUCUGGAAACCUUCCUACAUCCAUUAAGGGUCCUCUCCUCUCAGAAGGAUGACUUUCUGCCACCUCUCAGCCUCAUCCUUCCAGUCACCAAGAUUUUCCAAGGAAACUGAGGAGCAAUCUUCUUGUUCUUCAAAUGAAGCACAAAGAUAGGAGAAAAGACAAAAAGAAGAGAGCAAAUAUGAUUAAACAGAAGCAGUAAAGUGUCUAAUCUCUAACACAGGAUCCAACAAAAAAGACCACUGAAAUGGUCUUUCCAAGCCCUGGUGUAAUGUCUCUGUAUAAUCUCCUCAAAAUAGUGUAAACCACAGUGAUUAUUAAUAUAUUUUUGGUUGUUUAUAUGAAUCUUGGGGGGGAAAGGAAGCUUCUGCCAUUUUAAUUCCUUUGUUAAUGUCUUUAUGAAUGCAAUUAGCACUUCAUUCACGCUUCUUUGUCUCUGGAUCCCAUUACGAUAUGGCUUAUGCCAACUCCUCUCUCCCAGGAGAGGUGAGGCAUCACGCAGCACUCCGCUCAGCUGUGUGGCUGAGCACUGACAAACUCAAUUUACUAAAGGAGAGUGUGAGAUGACACCAAGCAGUCGCUGUUGCUGUGAUAUGGACAAAUAGCCUCUUUCGUUCCAAACAAGACAUCACCUAUCCUGGGGAAACGUGUCUGUACAUAGGUAAGUGGAAGGAAAACAAGGUUGAUUUACCUGACAAGAAAGUAACCUACUGCAGCUGGUCUUCAAACUGAAAUAUCUAAUUAUUCCAUCGCUUUUUUUACUGUUGUAUCUCACCUGCUUACCAGAUAUCCAUUCAGCUGCUUUUCAUUUCUAAACAUGGCACUAAAGUCACCCCUCUUUUAACCCCAUCAGUCUCUACAGUCCUAAACCAGGGAUGGAUCCAGCCCCUCAAAUUUUUCUUAUCUGCUCCAA